GCUGAUGCUCAGGUAUUAAAUUAUUUUUUCUCAUGUAAGUUAAUAGUUCCUUGACUAUAACUUUUUCCAUAAUUUUACAGCAUGUCGACGUGAGACUUACAGGUCUAUAGUUAGCAGGAUCAAGUUUAUCUCCUGACUUGUACAAAGGCGUGAUUGUUGCUUGCAACCACUCGUAGGGCAAAGUGCCUUGUAAGAAUGAUUUUGUCAUCAUUUUGGCAAGUGGGCCCGACAACGAAGCAGCACAAGUUCUCAGGAGUUUGGGAGGUAUCUGAUCCGGACCUGGAGCUGUAUUUAAUUUAAUGGCACAGAGUUGGCUUUUUACCAGAUCCGGAGUAAAAUUAAUAUAAGACAACCCACUAAAUGUAGCAGCAAAACUGUCCGCUAAAGUGUUUGCAGUUUCUGUAUGAUCGGAGCAGAGUAGACCUGAAGCAUUUCGUACUAAAGGGACCGACACACGACUAGAGAUAAAUUUACGUACAUGGGAAUAAAAUAGUUUUGGUUUAUUUAAUAUAGAAUUUUCAUAAUUACACCUGGCUAUUUGUAAAUCAGAUUUUAGUUGGUUAGAAAAUCUUUUAUAAGCAGAAAAAUUAUCUUCAGUAGGCUUCCUUUUAAAUUUUUUCCAUAAUUUAGCUUUGUAUUUUAUUUUGUCAAGCAUGUGUUGAUUUAUCCACGGUUUAUCUUUUCUCAGUCGGUUUGUAAACAGUCUGGAAUUUGUUGUAAUGCAAGUUUGUAAAAUCGAUUUAAAAUGUUUCCAUUGUUCUUCCGCAUUUAGUGAAUCUAAACCAUUCCAGUCGUAAGUCAAGAGACUUUCGUCUAUGCGAGUGUAGUCAACAAUUGAUGUUGUUUUAAUUCUUGCAUUUGGCUCUGAAUAUAUCAUAAUUUGUAACUCAA